GCUUAACACAUGCAAGUCUAACGGGAAAUAUUUCAUUGAGACUUCGGUGGAUUUGAUCUAUUUCUAGUGGCGGACGGGUGAGUAACGCGUGGGUAACCUGCCUUAUACAGGGGGAUAACAGUCAGAAAUGGCUGCUAAUACCGCAUAAGCGCACAGAGCUGCAUGGCUCAGUGUGAAAAACUCCGGUGGUAUAAGAUGGACCCGCGUUGGAUUAGCUGGUUGGUGGGGUAACGGCCCACCAAGGCGACGAUCCAUAGCCGGCCUGAGAGGGUGAACGGCCACAUUGGGACUGAGACACGGCCCAGACUCCUACGGGAGGCAGCAGUGGGGAAUAUUGCACAAUGGGGGAAACCCUGAUGCAGCGACGCCGCGUGAAGGAAGAAGUAUCUCGGUAUGUAAACUUCUAUCAGCAGGGAAGAUAGUGACGGUACCUGACUAAGAAGCCCCGGCUAACUACGUGCCAGCAGCCGCGGUAAUACGUAGGGGGCAAGCGUUAUCCGGAUUUACUGGGUGUAAAGGGAGCGUAGACGGUGUGGCAAGUCUGAUGUGAAAGGCAUGGGCUCAACCUGUGGACUGCAUUGGAAACUGUCAUACUUGAGUGCCGGAGGGGUAAGCGGAAUUCCUAGUGUAGCGGUGAAAUGCGUAGAUAUUAGGAGGAACACCAGUGGCGAAGGCGGCUUACUGGACGGUAACUGACGUUGAGGCUCG
rnacentral:rRNA from 1 species